GCCGUGGUAGCUCAGUUGGUUAGAGCGCCAGAUUGUGGCUCUGGAGGUCAGCGGUUCAAUUCCACUUCACGGUACCA
rnacentral:tRNA from 5 species